GACGAACGCUGGCGGCGUGCCUAACACAUGCAAGUCGAACGGGGUUAAAUGCUUCGGUAAUUAACUUAGUGGCGAACGGGUGAGUAACGCGUGAGGAACCUGCCUUUCAGUGGGGGACAACAGUUGGAAACGACUGCUAAUACCGCAUAACAUAUUCGGACCGCAUGAUCUGAAUAUCAAAGCUUUAUGUGCUGAAAGAUGGCCUCGCGUCUGAUUAGCUAGUUGGUGGGGUAACGGCCCACCAAGGCGACGAUCAGUAGCCGGUCUGAGAGGAUGAACGGCCACAUUGGGACUGAGAUACGGCCCAGACUCCUACGGGAGGCAGCAGUGGGGAAUAUUGGGCAAUGGGGGAAACCCUGACCCAGCAACGCCGCGUGAAGGAAGAAGGCCCUCGGGUUGUAAACUUCUUUUACCAGGGACGAAGAACGUGACGGUACCUGGAGAAAAAGCAACGGCUAACUACGUGCCAGCCGCCGCAGUAAAAC
rnacentral:rRNA from 1 species